UACGGAGGGUGCGAGCGUUGUCCGGAAUCACUGGGCGUAAAGGGCGCGUAGGCGGCCUGAUAAGUAGGGGGUGAAAUCCUGCGGCUUAACCGCAGGGCUGCCUUCUAAACUGUCAGGCUUGAGCACAGUAGAGGCAGGUGGAAUUCCCGGUGUAGCGGUGGAAUGCGUAGAGAUCGGGAAGAACAUCAGUGGCGAAGGCGGCCUGCUGGGCUGUUGCUGACGCUGAGACGCGAAAGCGUGGGGAGCAAACAGG
rnacentral:rRNA from 1 species